UACAACUCCCUAGUGUAAAUUUACAUACACCAUACCACUAGUAUGUGAUAGGGAUUGGUUUUUCUUGGUUCUUGAUAACAAAUCCAUCAUGAGUGAAUCUUCCAAGUUAAAGGAGUGAUCCUCGCUUCGCGAGUGUAUGGUCCUUCGGGUCCGUCCUCAUGUUAUGGUCCUCUCACUUGGUGAGGGCUGAAAAGGAGUGAGGUACAUCACCGUGCGGCUUUGCAAGUACUAGGAAAGGCGUAGCUCCCAUGGGUGUUCACUCACAUUGCACACCCCUUUCAUUCACCUAGCUGGUCAUGAUAAUUCUCAUACUUAGGUUCAUGAUUCCUGGUAGCCAGGAUCUACUUGUUGUGUAUUAACCAUGCCUUGGUUUGCUUCCAUGAUCAAUAUGUUUACCUAUCAAGGUGGGUUGGAGUUGACUAGUCCCACCUUGCACCCGGGUGUGUUGGAACAUAUGCUUUCUUUGUUAUGUGUAGCAUAAUGGUUGGUGGCUUCACCACUUUGCUCUACAUGGGUUGUAUGAGCUUGUUGGAUGCUUCUGCUUGUGAUAUUAUAAAUAUAUGCUAUGUUUAUUCAA